UCUUUAUCACCGAGUGCUUGCACUCACCGAUAAAGAGUUGAGUGGCGAACGGGUGAGUAACACGUGGGCAACCUGCCCAAAAGAGGGGGAUAACACUUGGAAACAGGUGCUAAUACCGCAUAACCAUAGUUACCGCAUGGUAACUAUGUAAAAGGUGGCUAUGCUACCGCUUUUGGAUGGGCCCGCGGCGCAUUAGCUAGUUGGUGGGGUAAAGGCUUACCAAGGCAAUGAUGCGUAGCCGAACUGAGAGGUUGAUCGGCCACAUUGGGACUGAGACACGGCCCAAACUCCUACGGGAGGCAGCAGUAGGGAAUCUUCCACAAUGGGCGAAAGCCUGAUGGAGCAACGCCGCGUGGGUGAAGAAGGUCUUCGGAUCGUAAAACCCUGUUGUUAGAGAAGAAAGUGCGUGAGAGUAACUGUUCACGUUUCGACGGUAUCUAACCAGAAAGCCACGGCUAACUACGUGCCAGCAGCCGCGGUAAUACGUAGGUGGCAAGCGUUAUCCGGAUUUAUUGGGCGUAAAGGGAACGCAGGCGGUCUUUUAAGUCUGAUGUGAAAGCCUUCGGCUUAACCGGAGUAGUGCAUUGGAAACUGGGAGACUUGAGUGCAGAAGAGGAGAGUGGAACUCCAUGUGUAGCGGUGAAAUGCGUAGAUAUAUGGAAGAACACCAGUGGCGAAAGCGGCUCUCUGGUCUGUAACUGACGCUGAGGUUCGAAAGCGUGGGUAGCAAACAGGAUUAGAUACCCUGGUAG
rnacentral:rRNA from 1 species